rnacentral:rRNA from 1 species
GACGAACGCUGGCGGCGUGCUUAACACAUGCAAGUCGAACGGAAAGGCCCUGCUUUUGUGGGGUGCUCGAGUGGCGAACGGGUGAGUAACACGUGAGUAACCUGCCCUUGACUUUGGGAUAACUUCAGGAAACUGGGGCUAAUACCGGAUAGGAGCUCCUGCUGCAUGGUGGGGGUUGGAAAGUUUCGGCGGUUGGGGAUGGACUCGCGGCUUAUCAGCUUGUUGGUGGGGUAGUGGCUUACCAAGGCUUUGACGGGUAGCCGGCCUGAGAGGGUGACCGGCCACACUGGGACUGAGAUACAGCCCAGACUCCUACGGGAGGCAGCAGUGGGGAAUAUUGCACAAUGGGCGGAAGCCUGAUGCAGCAACGCCGCGUGCGGGAUGACGGCCUUCGGGUUGUAAACCGCUUUCGCCUGUGACGAAGCGUGAGUGACGGUAAUGGGUAAAGAAGCACCGGCUAACUACGUG